rnacentral:rRNA from 1 species
UACGUAUGGUGCAAGCGUUAUCCGGAUUUACUGGGUGUAAAGGGAGCGUAGACGGAGUGGCAAGUCUGAUGUGAAAACCCGGGGCUCAACCCCGGGACUGCAUUGGAAACUGUCAAUCUAGAGUACCGGAGAGGUAAGCGGAAUUCCUAGUGUAGCGGUGAAAUGCGUAGAUAUUAGGAGGAACACCAGUGGCGAAGGCGGCUUACUGGACGGUAACUGACGUUAAGGCUCGAAAGCGUGGGGAGCAAACAGG